rnacentral:lncRNA from 1 species
CUCUGCUGCAGGGGUGUGCACUUAGAAAAAGUGUGACCCCACAACCUACUGCGUCCUCCACCAGAAAGUUUGUCUUUUCUUUUUUCUCACUCUCUUGGACUUGAUGUUUUAUAUUUUCCCCGACUGCUGUUUCCUGGGACUCCAAUACCAGUUUCCUUUUACUGGAAACACAGAGGCAAAUGACAACAUCAUCCUUACUGAAACACCCUGCCUCCACCAUACCCAUGCAAGCUAUUUGUUUCUCAGGCUAAAAGAGACGCCAUGAAAGAGAACUUCUGGUGAAACUUCAAGGACUUAAUGAGACUUCAAGGACAUUGAUACAAGCUAUUUGUAACUCAGAAAUUCUACCUGGAUCCUAGGCCCUUGACAGUCCUUAGAGAAGAGUCGAUUGAAUAAGAAGAGAAGAAAUCCUUAUUUUUCAGCCCAAGACACUAAGCGGGAUUAAGCCUAUGUCAUUUGCUCUUCAAAGUCUGGGUUUUCUUUCAGAAACACACUGGACAUUAUAUGGGAAUAACACUUAGAGACUGGGCUGUGGAGAAGACCAAAGAGUCUGCUACAAUAUAUUAGCAAAUAAAUUCUCUUACUUCUAACAUA